AGAGGGGUUCCAUACUGGGUAGAGGGGUUCCAUACUGGAUCAAGGGGUUCCAUACUGGGUAGAGGGGUUCCAUACUGUGACGAGAAGUUCCAUACUGAGUCGAGAGGUUCCAUACUGGGUAGAGGGUUCCAUACUGGGUCGAGAGGUUCCAUACUGGGUAGAGGGGUUCCAUACUGGGUUGAGGGGUUCCAUACUGGGGUCGAGGGUUCCAUACUGGGUAGAAGGGUUCCAUACUUGAUCAAGGGGUAGAGGGGUUCCAUACUGGGUAGAGGGGUUCCAUACUGGGUCGAAGGGUUCCAUACUGGGUCGAAGGGUUCCAUACUGGGUAGAGGGGUUCCAUACUGGGUAGAGGGGUUCCAUACUGGGCCGAGGGGUUCCAUACUGGGUCGAAGGGUUCCAUAGUGGGUCGAAGGGUUCCAUAGUGGGUAGAGGGGUUCCAUAGUGGGUAGAGGG
ensembl:lncRNA